rnacentral:rRNA from 1 species
UGGGGAAUAUUGCGCAAUGGGCGAAAGCCUGACGCAGCGACGCCGCGUGAGGGAUGACGGCCUUCGGGUUGUAAACCUCUUUCAGCGCCGAAGAAGCGAAAGUGACGGUAGGCGCAGAAGAAGCACCGGCUAACUACGUGCCAGCAGCCGCGGUAAUACGUAGGGUGCAAGCGUUGUCCGGAUUUAUUGGGCGUAAAGAGCUCGUAGGCGGUCUGUUACGUCGGAUGUGAAAACCCGGGGCUUAACCCCGGGCCUGCAUACGAUACGGGCAGACUAGAGUGUGGUAGGGGAGACUGGAACUCCUGGUGUAGCGGUGAAAUGCGCAGAUAUCAGGAAGAACACCGGUGGCGAAGGCGGGUCUCUGGGCCACUACUGACGCUGAGGAGCGAAAGCGUGGGGAGCAAACA